rnacentral:rRNA from 1 species
UACGUAGGUGGCAAGCGUCGUCCGGAUUUAUUGGGCGUAAAGCGAGCGCAGGCGGUUUUUUAAGUCUGAUGUGAAAGCCUUCGGCUCAACCGAAGAAGUGCAUCGGAAACUGGGAAACUUGAGUGCAGAAGAGGACAGUGGAACUCCAUGUGUAGCGGUGAAAUGCGUAGAUAUAUGGAAGAACACCAGUGGCGAAGGCGGCUGUCUGGUCUGUAACUGACGCUGAGGCUCGAAAGUAUGGGUAGCAAACAGGAUUAGAUACCCUGGUAGUCCAUACCGUAAACGAUGAAUGCUAAGUGUUGGAGGGUUUCCGCCCUUCAGUGCUGCAGCUAACGCAUUAAGCAUUCCGCCUGGGGAGUACGGCCGCAAGGCUGAAACUCAAAGGAAUUGACGGGGGCCCGCACAAGCGGUGGAGCAUGUGGUUUAAUUCGAAGCUACGCGAAGAACCUUACCAGGUCUUGACAUACUAUGCAAAUCUAAGAGAUUAGACGUUCCCUUCGGGGACAUGGAUACAGGUGGUGCAUGGUUGUCGUCAGCUCGUGUCGUGAGAUGUUGGGUUAAGUCCCGCAACGAGCGCAACCCUUAUUAUCAGUUGCCAGCAUUAAGUUGGGCACUCUGGUGAGACUGCCGGUGACAAACCGGAGGAAGGUGGGGAUGACGUCAAAUCAUCAUGCCCCUUAUGACCUGGGCUACACACGUGCUACAAUGGAUGGUACAACGAGUUGCGAACUCGCGAGAGUAAGCUAAUCUCUUAAAGCCAUUCUCAGUUCGGAUUGUAGGCUGCAACUCGCCUACAUGAAGUCGGAAUCGCUAGUAAUCGCGGAUCAGCAUGCCGCGGUGAAUACGUUCCCGGGCCUUGUACACACCGCCCGUCACACCAUGAGAGUUUGUAACACCCAAAGUCGGUGGGGUAACCUUUAGGAACCAGCCGCCUAAGUGACAGAGAUGGG